GACGAACGCUGGCGGCGUGCCUAAUACAUGCAAGUAGAACGCUCAAGGAGGAGCUUUCUUCUCUGGAUGAGUUGCGAACGGGUGAGUAACGCGUAUGUAACCUGCCUGUUAGCGGGUGAUAACUCUUCGAAACGAUAGCUAAUACCGCAUAAGAGUAUAUGUUGCAUGACAUUUGCUUAAAAGGUGCAAUUUCAUCACUACCAGAUGGAGCUGCGUUGUAUUAGCUAGUUGUUGGGGUAACAGCUCACCAAGGCGACGAUACAUAGCCGACCUUAGAGGGGGAUCGGCCACACUGGGAAUGGGACAACGCCCAGACCCCCACGGGGGGGAGCAGGAGGGAAUCUUCGGCAAUGGACGGAAGUCUGAACGAGGCACGCCGGGUGAGUGAAGAAGGUUCUCGGAUCGGAAAGCUCUGGUGUAAGGGAAGAAAGAGUGUGGGAGUGGAAAGUGCACACCGUGACGGUAUCUUAUCAGAAAGCGACGGCUAACUACGUG
rnacentral:rRNA from 1 species